GGGUUGUGAGGUUAAGCGACUAAGCGUACACGGUGGAUGCCCUGGCAGUCAGAGGCGAUGAAGGACGUGCUAAUCUGCGAUAAGCGUCGGUAAGGUGAUAUGAACCGUUAUAACCGGCGAUUUCCGAAUGGGGAAACCCAGUGUGUUUCGACACACUAUCAUUAACUGAAUCCAUAGGUUAAUGAGGCGAACCGGGGGAACUGAAACAUCUAAGUACCCCGAGGAAAAGAAAUCAACCGAGAUUCCCCCAGUAGCGGCGAGCGAACGGGGAGGAGCCCAGAGCCUGAAUCAGUGUGUGUGUUAGUGGAAGCGUCUGGAAAGGCGCGCGAUACAGGGUGACAGCCCCGUACACAAAAAUGCACAUGCUGUGAGCUCGAUGAGUAGGGCGGGACACGUGGUAUCCUGUCUGAAUAUGGGGGGACCAUCCUCCAAGGCUAAAUACUCCUGACUGACCGAUAGUGAACCAGUACCGUGAGGGAAAGGCGAAAAGAACCCCGGCGAGGGGAGUGAAAAAGAACCUGAAACCGUGUACGUACAAGCAGUGGGAGCACGCUUAGGCGUGUGACUGCGUACCUUUUGUAUAAUGGGUCAGCGACUUAUAUUCUGUAGCAAGGUUAACCGAAUAGGGGAGCCGAAGGGAAACCGAGUCUUAACUGGGCGUUAAGUUGCAGGGUAUAGACCCGAAACCCGGUGAUCUAGCCAUGGGCAGGUUGAAGGUUGGGUAACACUAACUGGAGGACCGAACCGACUAAUGUUGAAAAAUUAGCGGAUGACUUGUGGCUGGGGGUGAAAGGCCAAUCAAACCGGGAGAUAGCUGGUUCUCCCCGAAAGCUAUUUAGGUAGCGCCUCGUGAAUUCAUCUCCGGGGGUAGAGCACUGUUUCGGCAAGGGGGUCAUCCCGACUUACCAACCCGAUGCAAACUGCGAAUACCGGAGAAUGUUAUCACGGGAGACACACGGCGGGUGCUAACGUCCGUCGUGAAGAGGGAAACAACCCAGACCGCCAGCUAAGGUCCCAAAGUCAUGGUUAAGUGGGAAACGAUGUGGGAAGGCCCAGACAGCCAGGAUGUUGGCUUAGAAGCAGCCAUCAUUUAAAGAAAGCGUAAUAGCUCACUGGUCGAGUCGGCCUGCGCGGAAGAUGUAACGGGGCUAAACCAUGCACCGAAGCUGCGGCAGCGACACUAUGUGUUGUUGGGUAGGGGAGCGUUCUGUAAGCCUGCGAAGGUGUGCUGUGAGGCAUGCUGGAGGUAUCAGAAGUGCGAAUGCUGACAUAAGUAACGAUAAAGCGGGUGAAAAGCCCGCUCGCCGGAAGACCAAGGGUUCCUGUCCAACGUUAAUCGGGGCAGGGUGAGUCGACCCCUAAGGCGAGGCCGAAAGGCGUAGUCGAUGGGAAACAGGUUAAUAUUCCUGUACUUGGUGUUACUGCGAAGGGGGGACGGAGAAGGCUAUGUUGGCCGGGCGACGGUUGUCCCGGUUUAAGCGUGUAGGCUGGUUUUCCAGGCAAAUCCGGAAAAUCAAGGCUGAGGCGUGAUGACGAGGCACUACGGUGCUGAAGCAACAAAUGCCCUGCUUCCAGGAAAAGCCUCUAAGCAUCAGGUAACAUCAAAUCGUACCCCAAACCGACACAGGUGGUCAGGUAGAGAAUACCAAGGCGCUUGAGAGAACUCGGGUGAAGGAACUAGGCAAAAUGGUGCCGUAACUUCGGGAGAAGGCACGCUGAUAUGUAGGUGAAGUCCCUCGCGGAUGGAGCUGAAAUCAGUCGAAGAUACCAGCUGGCUGCAACUGUUUAUUAAAAACACAGCACUGUGCAAACACGAAAGUGGACGUAUACGGUGUGACGCCUGCCCGGUGCCGGAAGGUUAAUUGAUGGGGUCAGCGCAAGCGAAGCUCUUGAUCGAAGCCCCGGUAAACGGCGGCCGUAACUAUAACGGUCCUAAGGUAGCGAAAUUCCUUGUCGGGUAAGUUCCGACCUGCACGAAUGGCGUAAUGAUGGCCAGGCUGUCUCCACCCGAGACUCAGUGAAAUUGAACUCGCUGUGAAGAUGCAGUGUACCCGCGGCAAGACGGAAAGACCCCGUGAACCUUUACUAUAGCUUGACACUGAACAUUGAGCCUUGAUGUGUAGGAUAGGUGGGAGGCUUAGAAGUGUGGACGCCAGUCUGCAUGGAGCCGACCUUGAAAUACCACCCUUUAAUGUUUGAUGUUCUAACGUUGACCCGUGAUCCGGGUUGCGGACAGUGUCUGGUGGGUAGUUUGACUGGGGCGGUCUCCUCCUAAAGAGUAACGGAGGAGCACGAAGGUUGGCUAAUCCUGGUCGGACAUCAGGAGGUUAGUGCAAUGGCAUAAGCCAGCUUGACUGCGAGCGUGACGGCGCGAGCAGGUGCGAAAGCAGGUCAUAGUGAUCCGGUGGUUCUGAAUGGAAGGGCCAUCGCUCAACGGAUAAAAGGUACUCCGGGGAUAACAGGCUGAUACCGCCCAAGAGUUCAUAUCGACGGCGGUGUUUGGCACCUCGAUGUCGGCUCAUCACAUCCUGGGGCUGAAGUAGGUCCCAAGGGUAUGGCUGUUCGCCAUUUAAAGUGGUACGCGAGCUGGGUUUAGAACGUCGUGAGACAGUUCGGUCCCUAUCUGCCGUGGGCGCUGGAGAACUGAGGGGGGCUGCUCCUAGUACGAGAGGACCGGAGUGGACGCAUCACUGGUGUUCGGGUUGUCAUGCCAAUGGCACUGCCCGGUAGCUAAAUGCGGAAGAGAUAAGUGCUGAAAGCAUCUAAGCACGAAACUUGCCCCGAGAUGAGUUCUCCCUGACUCCUUGAGAGUCCUGAAGGAACGUUGAAGACGACGACGUUGAUAGGCCGGGUGUGUAAGCGCAGCGAUGCGUUGAGCUAACCGGUACUAAUGAACCGUGAGGCUUAACCUUACAACGCCGAAGCUGUU
rnacentral:rRNA from 1 species